rnacentral:rRNA from 1 species
UACGUAGGGUGCAAGCGUUGUCCGGAAUUAUUGGGCGUAAAGAGCUCGUAGGCGGUCUGUCGCGUCUGCUGUGAAAACCCGCGGCUCAACUGCGGGCUUGCAGCCGAUACGGGCAGGCUAGAGUUCGGUAGGGGAGACUGGAAUUCCUGGUGUAGCGGUGAAAUGCGCAGAUAUCAGGAGGAACACCGGUGGCGAAGGCGGGUCUCUGGGCCGUAACUGACGCUGAGGAGCGAAAGCAUGGGGAGCGAACAGG